GACCAUACUGCCAAAAGCAAUCUACAGAUUCAAUGCAAUUCCCAUCAAAAUACCACCAUCAUUCUUCACAGAACUAGUAAAAACAAUCCUAAAAUUUAUACGGAUCCAUAAAAAGAGCUCACAUAGCCAAUGCAACACUAAGGAAAAAGAACAAAUCUGGAGGAAUCACAUUACCCAACUUCAAACUAGGCUACAGUUACCAAAACAGCAAGAUCGUGGUAGAAAAAUAGGCACACAGGCCAGUGGAACAACAUAGAGAACCCAGAAAUAAAGCCAGAUACUUACAGCCAACUGUUCUUAAACAAAGCAAACAAAAACAUAAAGUAGGGAACAUUUCAAAACUAAAUUUCCAUGUUCUCAUCACAAAAAAUGUUCAGUGUUUGAGGUGAUGGAUGUUAACUAGCUUAAUUAUUCCAUAUUAUACUCAUAAAUCGUAACACCAUUUU
rnacentral:lncRNA from 1 species